rnacentral:rRNA from 1 species
CAGCCGCCACGGUAAUACGUAGGGUGCGAGCGUUAAUCGGAAUUACUGGGCGUAAAGCGUGCGCAGGCGGUUGUGUAAGACAGGUGUGAAAUCCCCGGGCUUAACCUGGGAACUGCGCUUGUGACUGCACAGCUAGAGUAUGGCAGAGGGGGGUGGAAUUCCACGUGUAGCAGUGAAAUGCGUAGAGAUGUGGAGGAACACCGAUGGCGAAGGCAGCCCCCUGGGUCAAUACUGACGCUCAUGCACGAAAGCGUGGGGAGCAAACAGGAUUAGAUACCCCUGUAGUCCCUGUCUCUUAUAC